GUUAAGUGACUAAGCGUACACGGUGGAUGCCUAGGCAAUCAGAGGCGAAGAAGGACGUGCUAAUCUGCGAAAAGCUUGGAUGAGUUGAUAAGAAGCGUUUAAUCCAAGAUAUCCGAAUGGGGAAACCCAGUAGAUGAAGAAUCUACUAUCAACAGAUGAAUACAUAGUCUGUUGAGGCAAACCGGGAGAACUGAAACAUCUAAGUACCCCGAGGAAAAGAAAUCAACCGAGAUUUUGUAAGUAGCGGCGAGCGAAAGCGAAAGAGCCAGUGAGUGAUAGCAGCAAAGACAGAAGAAUUGGCUGGGAAGCCAAGCGACACAGGGUGAUAGCCCCGUAUUCGAAGUUUUUGUUGUGGUACUAAGCUUGCAACAAGUAGGGCGGGACACGAGAAAUCCUGUUUGAAGAUGGGGGGACCAUCCUCCAAGGCUAAAUACUCCUGAUUGACCGAUAGUGAACCAGUACUGUGAAGGAAAGGCGAAAAGAACCCCAGUGAGGGGAGUGAAAUAGAACCUGAAACCGUGUACGUACAAGCAGUGGGAGCCUGUUUGGGUGACUGCGUACCUUUUGUAUAAUGGGUCAGCGACUUAUAUUUUGUAGCGAGGUUAACUGAAUAAGGGAGCCGAAGGGAAACCGAGUCUUAACUGGGCGGCUAGUUGCAAGGUAUAGACCCGAAACCCGGUGAUCUAGCCAUGGGCAGGUUGAAGGUUGGGUAACACUAACUGGAGGACCGAACCGACUAAUGUUGAAAAAUUAGCGGAUGACUUGUGGCUGGGGGUGAAAGGCCAAUCAAACCGGGAGAUAGCUGGUUCUCCCCGAAAUCUAUUUAGGUAGAGCCUUAUGUGAAUACCUUCGGGGGUAGAGCACUGUUUCGGCUAGGGGUCCAUCCCGGAUUACCAACCCGAUGCAAACUGCGAAUACCGAAGAGUAAUGCAUAGGAGACACACGGUGGGUGCUAACGUCCAUCGUGGAGAGGGAAACAACCCAGACCGCCAGCUAAGGUCCC
rnacentral:rRNA from 1 species